UACGUAGGUGGCAAGCGUUGUUCGGAAUUAUUGGGCGUAAAGGGCGCGUAGGCGGUUUGUUAAGUCGGUUGUGAAAGCCCGGGGCUCAACCCCGGAGGGUCAGCCGAUACUGGCAGGCUAGAGUACGGAAGAGGUAGCUGGAAUUCCCGGUGUAGCGGUGAAAUGCGUAGAGAUCAGGAGGAACACCCGUGGCGAAGGCGGCACGCUGGGCCGGCCCUGACGCUGAGGCGCGAAAGCGUGGGGAGCGAACGGG
rnacentral:rRNA from 1 species